UGCCUACGGGGGGCUGCAGUAAGGAAUAUUGGUCAAUGGACGCAAGUCUGAACCAGCCAUGCCGCGUGCAGGAUGACGGCCCUAUGGGUUGUAAACUGCUUUUAUACGGGAAUAAACCCCUCUACGUGUAGAGGGCUGAAUGUACCGUAAGAAUAAGGGUCGGCUAACUCCGUGCCAGCAGCCGCGGUAAUACGGAGGACCCGCGCGUUAUCCGGAUUCAUUGGGUUUAAAGGGUGCGUAGGCGGAUUUGCAAGUCAGAGGUGAAAGCCUACAGCUUAACUGUAGAAUUGCCUUUGAUACUGCUGAUCUUGAAUAUGGUUGAGGUGGAUGGAAUGUGUCAUGUAGCGGUGAAAUGCUUAGAUAUGACACAGAACACCAAUCGCGAAGGCAGUUCACCAAACCAUUAUUGACGCUGAGGCACGAAAGCGUGGGGAGCAAACAGGAUUAGAUACCCUAGUAGUC
rnacentral:rRNA from 1 species